rnacentral:misc_RNA from 1 species
UGCGCAUGCGCUAAAUAGACGCCAUUUUCGUUCUGAUCUGUGAGAGAGAAUGCAACUUGCAUGGUGAGUGAUGUAACCUGACGGUAAGCGUAGCCGCUGCGUUAGCCUCGGCUGCCUCGUCCCAAAGAUGGCCACACUCUCUCGGCCUGGGAGCCUCCGCAAUCCUGAGGUGGCCGAUUUAUUUGAACGAGAGGACCCUGAGAGACUAUUUGAUGACCUGCGUGAAAUUGGCCAUGGCAGUUUUGGAGCAGUAUACUAUGCACGUCAUGUAUCAUCAAAGGAGGUUGUGGCAAUCAAGAAAAUGUCAUACAAUGGUAAACAAAGUGCAGAAAAAUGGCAAGAUAUUCUUAAGGAAAUUAGAUUCCUUCGCAGUCUUCGUCACCCCAAUACCGUCACUUAUAAAGGUUGCUACCUAAAGGAGUCAACAGUUUGGCUGGUAAUGGAAUAUUGCUUGGGCUCAGCUUCGGACAUCAUUGAAGUUCAUAGACAACCUCUACGAGAAGAAGAGAUCAGUUCCAUUUGUGAAGGUUGCCUCCAAGGUCUCUCGUAUUUACACUCUUUAGGAAAAAUUCAUCGUGAUGUUAAGGCUGGCAACAUUCUUCUCACUGAAAAUGGCACAGUCAAGCUGGCUGAUUUUGGUAGUGCAAGUAUUGCAUCCCCUGCCAAUAGUUUUGUUGGAACACCAUACUGGAUGGCUCCUGAGGUCAUUUUGGCUAUGGAUGAAGGACAGUAUGAUGGAAAGGUGGAUGUAUGGUCCCUAGGCAUCACAUGUAUAGAACUGGCUGAGCGCAAACCGCCCUACUUCAACAUGAAUGCCAUGAGUGCCUUGUACCACAUUGCCCAAAAUGAUGCCCCUAAAAUGUCUGCUCCAGAGUGGUCAAAAGAUUUCCAACACUUUGUUGAGUCAUGCCUUCAGAAAUCUCCACCUGAUAGACCUACCUCGGCCAGGCUCCUGUCUCAUGAGUUUAUAUUGAGACAUCGGUCACCUCAUAUUAUCUUGGAUCUAAUUGCUCGUACCAAGAAAGCUGUUCGUGAGUUUGACAACCUAAACUACAGAAAAAUGAAAAAAAUUCUGCUGUAUGAAACAGAGAGUCAACAAGGGGACGUAGAAGGUGAGGCAGAAGACUCUACAGAGGAGGACCCAGCGGGAGGUGACAGCAGCAAAAGCAACAGCAUCACGUCAGAGAAGUCAGUCAUAUCAGCCGGGGUCAGUCAGUCAUCCCAAUCCCAGUCAUCCUCCACCAACUCCCUCCAUCAUCAUUUACUUCACCAGACACAACAUCCAUAUCAAACACCAUCACAGCCUCUUUUACAGCAUUCUCCAUAUAUUGCCCCUCCAGUGCCACCGCAUCACCACCAUCCUUCACAUCAUUAUCAUCAAUCACAUUAUUCACCACAGCCACAGCAUCAUGCACUUCCAUAUCAUCAUCACUCUAACACACCAUCACUUUCACCAUCACCAUCAUCAUCAUCAUUACAUCAGUCAGAUUUAGGUAUACCUAAUAAUAAUCACCAUCCAUUAACGCCUUCGUCAAUGCACAUGCCGCCAUCAACCAUUGACACUGCUACCAUUUCCUCCAUCACUAGUACCAAUGCAACAUCCUCCACCAUCCCAACCCUUCUCCUUCAGCUUCCGGGGCAGAAUGCUCCCUCCACCACUACCAACAACAACGCCACCAACAACGCGUCUUCUACCGUCAAGUCGCGUCGUGGACGGCCGGGUGGCAACCUCGUGGAUGUUGGCACUAGUAAUUUUGCCACCAUAAAGACGACGUCCAUUGUUAGCAAGCAGCAGAAGGAACAUCUUCAGGAAGAUAUGCAUGCUGCCAUGUCUGGGUACAAACGCAUGCGUCAAGAACACCAACGAGCUCAAGCUAAGCUUGAGGAGAAAUGUCGUGUUGAGAUGGAGAAUCACAAGCACAUGCUGGACAAGGAAUAUGAGGCUUUACUCUCCCAGUUCAGCAAGGAACUUGAGAAACUAAGACAGAAACAUGAAAAAGAGCAAGAGAAAAAGCUGGAUAUGUGUUCGGUAGCAGAAAAGAACCUUCAAAAGGACAUAAAUGGUAGACAUAUUAUUGAGCUUAAACACUUCCAGUCACAGUACAAGAAGCAGUACAAGGAAAAUAUAGAGAAAUGGAAGAAAGAAUUUUCACAAGACCCUAACACACCUAAAAGACAGAGAGAAGCACAGUUGCAGUCUCAGAAAGAAUAUCUUAAAGCCUCAGAACGACAAGAAGAACAAAAGCUAAUGCAGCAGCAGGGAGAAUACCUUCAAUUAGAAACUCGAAAGUUCCGUCGACGUGGCCUUUUGGCAUACUAUGUUAAAGAACAGUCUCUCCUCAAAGAGGAGCUUAUCAAGAGAGAACAGCAGCUAGAGACUGCUCAUUCAAUGCUUCUAAGACACCAUCAGUUAACACAGGACCUUGAAUAUCGCCAGCAAAGAGCUAUUCAUGCUUUGAAGGAGGAACAGAUGAAUAAACAACACCAAACAGAAUUGAGCAGUCAGCAUGAAUAUAUGAAGAGAGUUGAGAGAGAUCUUCGGAAAAAGCAUGCAUUACAACAGAAGCAGCAGCCAAAGAGUUUAAAACAAAAAGAAAUAGAAAUUCGUCGUCAGUUUCGUGAUACAAUCAAUAUACAGCGUCAGCAAUAUAAAGAAUAUAAGGCGCAAAUUUUAGCCAAAACUCCAAAAGAGGAUCAACGAGCCAUCAUCAAGAGGUUAAAAGAAGAUCAGCGGAGAAAAUUAGCUAUGCUGGGUGACCAGUAUGAACAGUCAAUUGCAGAAAUGCUUCAGAGACAGUCACUGCGACUGGAUGAAAGUCAAGUUGUGGAACAACAGCAAUUAACAGAGAAGCUAGAAAGAGAAUUAGAGAUGUUAGCCGAAUACCAAACUCGUAAUCGCCAACAAGCCGAGGCUCAACGUAACCGAGAAAAGAGAGAACUAGAUGAUAGAGUUGCACUCAGGAGAACUUUACUACAACAGAAGAUGACAGAGGAAACUGCACGAUUUCAGCAUGAACGACAUGAGCGGAUACGACUGAUGCAAGAGAAACAAGCUCGAGAACUAGAAGAAUUUGACAAUGAAUCCUCAAGGCUAGGAUUUAGUGCUCUGCAACUAGUGGAAUCUUCAAGCGAACGAUGGCCAGAAGAAUUCAACGUUUCAUCAUCCAUGCUUUCCUUAUCCCUCCAAUCUAACCACUGAGUAACUGGUUGAUCCCUAGCUAGCUGUAGGAGCUGUAAACAUUUGACAACCUUAUUCUCUCUAGGCUAUAUUGUUUUCCAGGUAUGAAUAUAAAUUUGAGCUCUUUAUAAUAUGUAAUUAGCCUUAUUUAUGAAAUACUAAUGUCACCUUCAUAUUUAUUUGUUGUAUAACCAGAUAAUGGUUAGGAGUUCCAAAGUCUGGUCCAUGUACGGCCGGAAAUUUUCCGUAGAUGCCCGGGCCCCAAAGGUGCUCUUGUGGCCACAAUGCCAGUGUGCUUUAGAAUCCCUAUCUCCCAUUAAAAGAAGUUGGAUUGGAGUUUCUUUGGUGAGCAAGAUUGGUUGAGUUAACACAAACUUCCACCUCAAAUAAUGCCUGCUGCUUGCAAGAUAGGUAAAUGAUCAGAAUUCAGCAUUUGGUAAUGUUUAAUACUUUUAUCUGAAUUUUUAAUUUCAUAAAAUAUAAAUAUAUCUGUCAAGUAACUGCUGUAGACAUGGCUGACUUUCUCUCAUGUAUAUAAUGUAAGUGAACUUAGAGACCAGUAAGUGUAAGCUCUGGAAGAUGGUAUGUCUAGGACAUUUUCCUCAUUUGGCAGGAAAAGAACGUCUUAAUACGCCCAUCCUUCUACAUUUACUGUUCGCUUCAUAUAUGUUGGUCUUGUCAAAUAGUCAUUUGGGUGCAACUGUUUUAAGUUUGCUGCCCAGAAAUUCAUAUAAAUCAGUGAAACACAGGAACUAAACGCUUGGGAUUCUGUCGUUGAUCACUGCAAGCACAGAUUCGCCUUUCACUAAUUUUCUAAUCUUUAGCAUAUUGAUCACAAUCUCAGGAGAAUUCCACAAGGUAAAGUGAAAGCCAUUCAAAUUUCCUCCAAUAUAGGCAAACCCUAGUACAGUAUUCUGUCUUCUCUGCACUGGAAGGGAAGCAAAGUCUGAUGGUCUCGGUUGAAAGUAGAGAAGCCUCUUUGCUCAAUAUCAUGUAAUGAGAUCAGUGAAUUGGAGCCAGUAGUUGUAAGCCAGGAAGGUUCAUGUUUAUUCAUUAUUAGUAGGGAAGUCUGCCAUAUUGUGUAAUUUUCAUCUGCUGCUCAUAAAUCUCUGGUCUUGUCCCAUGUAAGUUACCUUCUGACUUUGUAUAAAUAUAUAAUUCUUAUUUGUGGCAUGGUCAGUCAUUAUGAACCUUUGAGACAAAUCCACUCUCAGGCUCAUGUUCCAUGUAUUUUAAAGACUUAUAAUACAUAAGACUCAUGCUACAUGUUUUCAUAAUGAUCACCAGUAAAUUGGCUGGUUUUGAAAGAAUGGAGACAAUGCCCAGGAAGUUUUUCCCUAGUCAGAUAGAGGUCAAGUAAUCCUCAUCAGUAAGAGAAACUCUAUUAUUUAUAAUUAAUCUCUCUGCCCAUGAGUGGAUAAUAUUCUUUUUAAUUUCAUUUCAUUUGAUUUGAUCUUUAUUAUUAUUUAUCAUGUCCUUAUCUCUGUCAUUAUACAUUUUAUCCUAGAUUUUUAAAUAAUUUUUAUGGAUAGAAGUAUGGCUCAUAGUUGCUGACUUUCACAAAUAUGUCAGAUCAUGAGGGCCUACUUUGCACUGACUUAAAAGGUUAAGCAUGAGGUCCUUAGUGUAUUUGUGUAAAAUGUCAACAACUUUGUAUGUGGCUUAGCACAAAAUUCUUAAUUAUAGCUUAACCAAGUGGCAAUAAAUUCUUAAUUUCAAGACUUAUACCCUUAGGCAUAAUCUGGUUAUGGUGCCAGAAAUUGCAGCAGUAUUUAUAUCUGCUUUCAUGCAUUAGGAGUUAUCAGAAUCAUUUAACAAGUGCAAUGUUCAAUAUGGCUACUUCAAUGGAUGCCUUGCAACCAGUUAUACAUGGACCUUGCUUUAAAAUACACAAUAAACAAUAUUGGGCACCAUAAAAUUUAAAAAUUUAUUUUGAUAAUAUCACUUCCUAUUGGAGAGGCGAAAUUGUUUGAGUUUGCUAAGCCACUUGCUCCCCAAGAGGCCUCUGCUUAAAAAAAUGCUUUCACUCCCUUGUAAGGUCACUACAAGGGGCAAUAUAUUUCAUAAAUUAGCCUGUGCUGGGAAAAUGAACACAAAAGUUUUCAGUCUUUUAACAUGAAUUUUACAAUUUUGUGCUUCUUUUAAUUAAUUCUGUAACAGGAUAACCGUUUACUUUUAUUUUCUUCUAGAGUCUUAAUAAUGACAAAGCUGAAUUCGUUCUCUUGUUGACAUUUGUCUGAGAGUAUGAGUGUCAAGAAGGUAUUCAUUUUCCCAAGAACUUUUCUGACCCAGCAGCAUCAUUGGUUUUACCUACCAUGAUUCCUGGUCGGCUUCAUUGCAGACAUUCUCAGCCUUUAGGUAGGCCUAGGCAAGUUGUUUGUAUGUUGCAUCAUUCCAACCUUUUAAUGAGUGCGUGAAUUGUGUAACGUUUUGUUUUUGUUUUUUAUAAUUUUGUUAUGUAGCGGUAAUUCAAGGCAAUGUACCAUUGUUUUAAUGCUCAAGUUUAUACAGUCAGAGAAUAUAACAAUGUUUCCAACAGUGUAAAGUAUAGGGAUUAUGUUUUUAGGGACAUUAUCAAGUUGUUGGAAACAAAAAAAAAAUUAAUGCAACCCAUAAAGUUACCUCUUAACAAAAUGUAAACUGGUUGCAUUGGCCAAAAACCUUAUUUAUCAAAUAAAACAGGUUUUUGUUCAGCAGCUGUUAUUAAAUCUCUUGUAGAGUCGGCACUUACAUAAAAUUGCAAGCUUGAAUUUGAAAUAUGAGAGAAAGCAGUAUUAAAUUGUUAGUUUGUGUGCUACAGAGAGAGGAUUAAGUAUUUGAAUGUAUGUAUAUGUAUGUAUGAGAUGGGUUGUAGUCCCUAAAGAAUCAUAAAUAGCCAUGACUUAUUUUUCUUUCCUCAGAUACUUGUAUAUGGAAAUUUAAUUGUGAAAAUAAGAAAGUGUAGCAUGAAGAAUCUACCUACCAUCAAAUUUCAUAUUUAAUCUAAAUUAAUUUGUAGUUAGAUAUGAUAAUUUAUGCCAUUGAGAGCAAAUGUGUUAGCUGCCGAGAUGUUCCUGGGUCAUGGACUAGGUAUACACCAUCAUCACGUGUGUGUGUGUGUGUGUGUGUGUGUGCGUGUGUGUGUGUGUGUGUGUGUGUGUGUGUGUGUGUGUGUGUGUGUGUGUGUGUGUGUGUGUGUGUGUGUGCGCGUGUGUGUGUGCGUGCGCGUGUGCGUGUGCGCGCGUGUGCGUGCAGUAUGUCUAGUUCCAGUCUUGCUCUUUCUUGCCUCCAUGGAAUAGUUUCAUUGAUUUCUGACUUUUAUUACAUAUACACUGUCAAAUAUUGUACAUGGUAUUUUAUGUACACGUGAUAUUAUUCCUACUGUCUAUCAUAUUGUGAUUUAGCCAUUGUUUCAGAUUUGCAUCCCUAACAUUGGUUUUUAGUUGUCUAAUGGUUCAUAACAUCAUAUGAAUUAUGCUUUUUUUUUUUCUUUGACAAAGUUGCAUCAAUAUCAUUUUUAAAUGGUUGCUUUAUUGACUUUUGUAUCUCCAAUAUAAUUUUAAUUAAUAUUUGUGGUAAUCAGUGAUACUGAUCCUUGAGUGUGACUCAGUUGAAUCUUGGUCAUAUUACCUGUAAGGUCUGCAGGAAUUCUUCUAUAACAAAAAAUAAUUAUGGUCCAUUAUUGGUCAUGUUUCAAGGACAAAAUUUUGAUCUUUACCUUCAUGUGUUCCCUUACAAAUUGUAGUCAUUUAACAUCACAGCAUAUAAGUGAGAGGGCCGUCUGUUUCUCUUGGAUGCUACAUUUCACAUGUUCCCACAGUCAUCCACUUUCCUGUCCUAUAUAUGGCAUUUCAAAACAAAACAAAAAACAAAUUGAUAACCCCUGGUAAGAGUAAGUUUUUUUUUAAACUGUGUAAUAUGAUAUACCAUGUGUGUUGUUAUUAACUUAUUACAGUCACUGAGGUUACCCACCACCUUUGUAUCAGAUGUAGCUUUUUUCAACAAAAGCAAAUUAUAUUUAGUUAAAUAAUGCAAUCAACAAUGUUGUAGGAUGUGACUUAGGCAUGCCUAGUGAGUUAACUGCCUUGUGUGGUUGGUAAGGUGAGUGUAGGUCUGGUAUACUGGGCAGGAGAUGUGUAAGACAGUCUCUGCAGCUGGUGAGGUAUUGCUGUAUUCCAUCGUGCACACGCUUCUCAAUUACAGGUCUCAGCUCUAGGAUCAUCCUUAGUGUUCAGUGUGACUUUUGUUAUUGCAAGGUAUUUACCCUAGAUCUACCUCUUUAUGUAACCCUUUCCUUUCAUGAUAGUCUUUAUUCAGAUUUCAUGUUAUCUACAACCUCCCCCGCCUCCACUCUUCUCCCCCCACUUAUCUUUACUCUCUCAUCUCGGCACUGUUUGUGCUGUCAUUUCAUUCAUUGUUAAUUUCUUUUCCCAACUGCCAUAUUAUAAAGUUUUUUACUGGUCCAAUGUUAAUAUUUACAUAAUCCUGUUCUUUUUCAAUUUCUUUAGCUAUGGCUUUUCAUUGCAAGUUGAUCUUAUUUAUGUACAUAAUUCCACAGAUCAUCUUGAACUGUACUCUGCGGUGCAUCUUUCCUAUUAAACAACUUUUAAUCUCUGCAGCUUUCACUGAUUUUUUUUUUUUUUUAAAUCUUAUUUCACCUUUAUCUAUCUGUAUUUCUUUUAUUACCUAUAUUAAGCUUUUCAGCCUUUUUCCAUGUUGUAGAUUCAUUCAUGUCCCUUAAUCCUCCUCUGUUUAGAAAUUCCAGGUAAAUAAAAGAAGAAAGUCAUAAGUAUUAGCGGCGUUACAAACAUGUGGUAUGAUCCAGGCAUAUCAAGAUUGCAUUUACCACCCACCUUGAUAAUACAUGGCAUCUUACUGUAUACUACUACAUGGGUAGAUCAUUUCCAUAUUUAAAGUACAUAAUGACAAGAUAUGUAGGUCUUGUUAUAAAAAGUGCAAUCACACUGCCCUUCAAGACCUGGGCACCAGUGCAAACACCACCCUCCCAGAUGUUUUAUGCUCGUGCGUAGUGUCCAGUUGGAUGUCUCCUCACGUUGAUAUUUGUGAAUUCCACUCAGUGAUUCAGACGAGUGAGGAUGCAUUUUUGUAUGGGUCUCUGUGUUUGUAAUGUUACAAAAAAUUCUGUGUCUGUAUAUAUUAUAAGAAAAUACAUGAUGCUUCCAAAACUAA